UCUACACAAAUAUUCCAAAUU
rnacentral:piRNA from 1 species